UUGGAGGGCAAGUCUGGUGCCAGCAGCCGCGGUAAUUCCAGCUCCAAUAGCGUAUAUUAAAGUUGUUGCAGUUAAAAAGCUCGUAGUUGAACUUCAGACCUGGCUGGGCGGUCCGCUUAACGGCGUGUACUGUCUGGCUGGGUCUUACCUCUUGGUGAGCCGGCGUGCCCUUUAUUGGUGUGCGUCGGGGAACCAGGACUUUUACCUUGAGAAAAUUAGAGUGUUCAAAGCAGGCCUAUGCCUGAAUACAUUAGCAUGGAAUAAUAAAAUAGGACGUGCGGUUCUAUUUUGUUGGUUUCUAGAGUCGCCGUAAUGAUUAAUAGGGAUAGUUGGGGGCAUUGGUAUUGUGUCGCUAGAGGUGAAAUUCUUGGAUUGACACAAGACCAACUACUGCGAAAGCAUUUGCCAAGGAUGUUUUCAUUAAUCAAGAACGAAGGUUAGGGGAUCGAAAACGAUCAGAUACCGUUGUAGUCUUAACAGUAAACUAUGCCGACUGGGGAUCGGACGACCUCAAUUUUGAUGCGUCGUUCGGCGCCUUACGGGAAAC
rnacentral:rRNA from 1 species